rnacentral:rRNA from 1 species
UACGUAGGGUGCAAGCGUUGUCCGGAAUUAUUGGGCGUAAAGAGCUCGUAGGUGGUCUGUUGCGUCGGCUGUGAAACCCCGAGGCUCAACCUCGGGCCUGCAGCCGAUACGGGCAGACUAGAGUUCGGCAGGGGAGACUGGAAUUCCUGGUGUAGCGGUGAAAUGCGCAGAUAUCAGGAGGAACACCGGUGGCGAAGGCGGGUCUCUGGGCCGAUACUGACACUGGAGGAGCG